UACGUAGGGAGCGAGCGUUGUCCGGAUUCAUUGGGCGUAAAGAGCUCGUAGGCGGCUUGGCAAGUCGGGUGUGAAAACUCCAGCUCAACCUGGAGACGCCACCCGAUACUGCCAUGGCUAGAGUCCGGUAGGGGACCACGGAAUUCCUGGUGUAGCGGUGAAAUGCGCAGAUAUCAGGAGGAACACCGGUGGCGAAGGCGGUGUCUGGGCCGGAACUGACGCUGAGGAGCGAAAGCGUGGGGAGCGAACAGG
rnacentral:rRNA from 1 species